CUAUUAUAUAGAACAUUUCGUUAUUAUCAAUUGUGUACUUGAAUCAUGUCCAUACCUUAUCCACAAGCUGAGAAUAAAAAUAAAAUCCAACAUCAUCUCAACCCACCUAAAAACGUCCGAAACUUUGCCGAACUCACCUUAGGUAUACUAUUAUUAUUUAUUUUGCUCUGUGUUGAAGUCAAAUCACAAGGUUAAGAUAUCAGUUACCAACCACGACAAUAGUAGGUGUCUUAUACGAAGUACGAAGGUGAGUUAUGAUAAUAAUUAACACAUUAUAGGAGUUAUCAAUAAUUUAUUUAUAAACUUAAUUAUUUUUUAAAGUGGUUUAUUAUUAUGAUUUCUUUAAAUAAUGAGAUUUAAUCAAAUGAAUGAAGAAUGAAUGUUCUAAUUCGUAGAUGUUUAAUAAAAUGUGCGUAAAUAAGGCAUCAAAUAUGGCUAGAAGACACACUUCUUUCCUUACUUAGAAUACAAGCCUUUAAUAAAAUCAAGUCAUAAAACGAAGCAUGUUCUAACGAUAGUUAGAUUAAGAGCGAUGACAGUCUUGAGGGGAAUGAAAGUGAUCCUUUGAACGCCACAACUCCUUAAAAAGGAUUAAAUACCUACCUUAAUAUCACAAAGAAAUUACAUGCCAUUUGAAUCAACGAAGACAGAGAAUCAAGUACCUAAUUGAAUUUAAAAUGUUGUACUACUAACAUUAUAUAUUAAAUAUGUGAGUGAAAUUGCAAUCGUAAGAUAAAAGAAAUUAGAAUAAGGGGCCAUGAAAUGGAAUAUUUACUUAUGGUGUAAAAAAACACCUUUCUAAAAUAUGCUGCCGAAUAUAACGUAGUAAUCUAAAUUGAAAAAUACAGACGUGGCAAUUCAAAAACCGUCAUAACGUCAAAGGUCAGUCUAUCUGCUGCCUUGUUUUUCACUGUUGGCAGCUUUGGGCGUCUGGUUAGGUUGGUUGGUGUCGGCGGCGAGAGUGGCGUCGGCGGCGGCGGGCGCGGUGUCAUUGCUGGGGGCGAUAGUGGUUGUGGGGUCGGCGGGCGUGGUCGCGUCGUCGCCGGCGGCGGCCAGGGCCGCUAACAUCAGCACGGAGAAGAGGAUCUAGAGGAGAAGAGAUACUCGUAAAAUCGAAUCAAUCAAUAUUCUAUUACUAAUC